rnacentral:rRNA from 1 species
CUACGGGUCGCAGCAGUGGGGAAUAUUGCACAAUGGGCGCAAGCCUGAUGCAGCCAUGCCGCGUGUACGAAGAAGGCCUUCGGGUUGUAAAGUACUUUCAGCGGGGAGGAAGGGAGUAAAGUUAAUACCUUUGCUCAUUGACGUUACCCGCAGAAGAAGCACCGGCUAACUCCGUGCCAGCAGCCGCGGUAAUACGGAGGGUGCAAGCGUUAAUCGGAAUUACUGGGCGUAAAGCGCACGCAGGCGGUUUGUUAAGUCAGAUGUGAAAUCCCCGGGCUCAACCUGGGAACUGCAUCUGAUACUGGCAAGCUUGAGUCUCGUAGAGGGGGGUAGAAUUCCAGGUGUAGCGGUGAAAUGCGUAGAGAUCUGGAGGAAUACCGGUGGCGAAGGCGGCCCCCUGGACGAAGACUGACGCUCAGGUGCGAAAGCGUGGGGAGCAAACAGGAUUAGAUACCCGCGUAGUC